GGAUUGUGGCUCAAUGGCAGAGCGCUUGCCUUGCACAUGUGAGGUACUAGGUUUGAUCCCCAGCACCA
rnacentral:tRNA from 1 species